GAUCUCUAAGAAUGUCACGACGCUUGCACGAUGCUCCAACAAUAUUAACCAAGCUAUUGCAAGAUGUGAAGAAAGUGGCAAUAUCAGCAUUUCCCUUUGCCACGGCCACAAGAGCUAAUUGAAGUUGAUGUGCAAAACAAUGAAUAUAAUAGGCACAAGGAUUUUCUCUUAAAAUCUGUGUUUUAAGACCAUUGAACUCACCCUUCAUAUUACUAGCUCCAUCAUAUCCUUGUCCUCUUAGCAUAGAAAUGCUCAAUUCCUCUUUUGCAAACAAAGUGUCAAUAGCCUCCUUUAGUGAAUUUGAUGUAGUGUCGCUAACAUGUUGAAUGCCCACAAAUCUUUCAAUUACAUCCCCACUUUUGUCCACAUAACGAAACACCACUGCCAUCUAUUCUUUAACUGACACAUCAUGCGAUUCAUCAACUAAUAAAGAAAAGAAUGCACCAUCCAUAUUCUUAAUGAUUUUCUUAAUAGUUUCAGUGGCACAAGCAUUCACCAAAUCUUUUUGAAUUGUUGGAGCUAUUAGCUUGAGAUUCCCUGGAGCAUUUUCUAACACAACGGCCUUAACUUUCUCAUCAUGAUCAGCAAGAAAUUGUAAGAGCUCCAAAUAAUUCCCCAUGUUGUUUGAAGUGUCACUCUCAUCAUGGCCACGAAAAGGAAGACCUUGCUUCAACAAAAAUCUCAUGCAAUCAAGAGAAGCUGUCAAGCAAAUACGAUAAUCAAUACGAGCUUGGUCUGAUUGCUUGCCCAAAACUGUUUGGAUUUGUUGC
rnacentral:lncRNA from 1 species